rnacentral:lncRNA from 1 species
CCCCUGUAACACUGGAUGCAGCCCACUUGGACCUCAUCCUUUCCCAGGAUCUAAAGACAGUGAUGCUGGACCUCGACUCCUAGGUUGGUUUGCAGAAGCCGGGCUACUGCAGACUCUUUGACCAGUUCAGCUGUGUGAAAAGAAAGUUGCCCAGGUUCCACAGCAAGAGACAAGGCACAAUCUAUUGCAGCAUAAUAAAUAACUGAUUACUUAGUUAUAGCAAUAAUACCAAUAUUUUUACUGAUUACUUAUAGCAAUGAUAUAUUUGCUGAUUACUAAGUUAUGGUAAAGACGCCAGAUAGAUAUUAGAUUCACUCACAUGAUCAAUUAUAUAAUCUAUCUUAUUACAUCAUUAUUCUCUAUUAAUCUUUGCUUUAGUGUAGGAAUAUUUUAGUCUUAUAGUAUAGACAUAAUCAGGUGAAAUAUAAUUAGAGACUGAAGGGACAUUGUGAGAAGUUAUCAGGAGGUAAGAAUAAAUGCCUUGCGGUAGCACCAGCGCCUGGGAAGGCGCCCGUUACUCAGCUGGCAGGCCUUGCGGUAACCCCAGCAUCUGGGAAGGCACGAGUUACUUAGCAGGCUAUGGGGGGAAGUUUUCCUUUCACUGAGGAGUUCAGAGAAAACUCUACUCUGCGGCUCUUGAUGAAGGUCUGACACUAGCCGGGCCGGCCCACAGACAUCCAGGGGUUUAAACACCUCUCCACCGAUGGUCACCAACCUUAUCCACUUUAAUGUUCCACUUUCCCACCAAUGCUCCCUUGUAAAUUCUUAGAAGCUGUGAGAAGAACAGAGGAAUCCUAAAAGGCCUUUGAUCUCUCUGAUAAGUGCAUAGAAAGAUACUGACGUAUGUGCCUCCCCUUCUUGCAGCGGCUACCUGAAAGGGAGGGGCCCCCUGAACUGUACCCACGUGGCCCCCCCGUAUUGUAAGAAUGUGAUUUGAGUGACCCCUACCAAUCAUGUCAGAUGAGUUAUUCUCCCGCUCUGCCCCCUGCCUUGUAUACAAUAAAUAUCAGCGCGUCCAGGCUUUCGGGGCCACUGCUGGACUCCGCCCCUUGGUAGCAGUGGUUCCCAGGGCCCAGCUGAAUUCUUCUCUGUACACAAAAGAACACCCACUAGACCCUGCGAGGCUGGACUCGCCAGGGGGCCUUUCCUCAGGCGGAUGCGCCUGGGAGGCGGAGCUCCAAGGUCCCGGGAACCCGGCCUACAUGCUGGGCGUGGCCUCGGAGUUGGUUCCCAGGCGGGGCUUUCUGGAGGUGGAGCCCUUGACCGACUUCUGGGAGUUGCAUAUCACCGGGUCCGAGUGCCAGGCGUUCACUGAAGGAUCUCCAGUUUCUUCCUUUCUGCAAUAUGCCUGGAUUGAAAAGGAAGGAUCAAAUACACGGAAAAGCUAUACACAAAGCUGUUCAUUGCAGCACAGUUGGUAACAGGAUAAGAUCGGAAACAAACGUCUAUCAACCGGUGGUUGAAAAAGCUGCCAAGUGCAAGCAUCCAGCUGCACCGUGGAUAAGACAGACUCGGAGGACUGCACCACUGACCCCGGCUUGUUCCCUCUCUCUUCCUCCACCUUAUCUCCCGCAGCCCCCGCGGCCCUGCGCAGGGCUUUGACCCAUCCGAACCUCAUCCUGAAAACCGACAUACUCAGAACGUUUCUAGUUCUUCAUAGUACUCAGAAACCAAAAUUUAUCCCAGGACCAGACGCAUCCUCCUCUCAAACCCGCACCACCACUACCCGAAACCAAAGUCUUGAUCAUUCCUAGUGUUGCCGUGUGAGGGACUGAAGUUAAACCCAGAGGAGGACUGCUCCUGUUUCCUCAGCGAGCCCAAAAAUAUAAAAGGGCGAGGAGGUUGGAAACACAGAGACGAAAUGACCUACGGAGAGUAAAACGCACGAUCUGGGCCAGAGUAUGAGAUGAUUAUGGGUUCCUUCCUCUUCCUCUUCCUUCAGUCCGGCUGAGGACUGGGUAGGCGGAUGGGUUCAGGGGUCUGUAGGAUUUUCCAGCCGCCUCGGUAGGGUAGGGAGAAGCCAGUUUUGCAGGAGGCGUGGGGAGUCGCCCGCCCGACCACCCGGCUGCCCGGCGCGUGGCUGUGCAGCGGGAGGGCGGGCCCUGGUGUAAGGGCGGGAGCGAGCCAACGCCCGGAGCGCGGAUUCCAGGGGCCCGCAGUCAGCCCUGGCCCGGCUCCCCCAUCCAGUUCCCCCGGUCGCCCGCGAAGCGCCGCCGAUUACAUAAACAGCCUUCACCUCCCUAAGGAGGGGACAACCGAGAGCUGGAGACACGCAGGCCAAGACCCGCAAGCAACGCCUCUCCGGACGUUUAUUCAGAUCACCCGGGACUGCCCAAAUUCCCUAUUUACAGUUCUCACAGCCCUCGUCAAGGUCAUGGACUUCGCGCCCUUUAUCUUGUUUCCUUUCAUUGUGUACAGAUUUAACUUCCUCACUAGAAAGGGAGAUCUUUCCUCCACUGUCUUAAGUUGAUUUUAUACUCCUGGCUCCACCAACCCCUGACACUUAGCACAAACCCUAGAAUGGGGUAGUUGAUUAAUAAAUAUUUACUAAAUUAAAACCAUGUGUUACUUUCUCUUUUCCCGCAAAAGAUUGAUGUCUUGGAAAUCCCACUCAAUUUUCGUGGACCAGCUCCACCUCACCUCCUCCAGGAAGCCUUCCCUGAAAGGGCUCCUGACUCCUCUUGUCGGAAGUGUGCACACUCCCAAAGCCUCUACUGCCAUCUCCCUGCACUUACUGCAGGUUGACUGUGAAGUCCCGGAGAACAGAAGCAGCCUCCCUACUCAUUUUCCUGUCACUCUCCCACCCUCCUUGAGCAGUACAGGGCCUGGUUCCUAAAGGGAUUUAAAUGAAGGAAGGAUUCAAAGUAAAUGAAAGAAUACUCUGUGGCAAGGUUUAAAUUUGGGAAGGUCUUCCAUCCUGGACCUUAAUUUAACCUUGAACUAUGACCACACUCUACUCAGCUGUGAGGGAUAGGUAUCCCCUCUUUAGGAGCCUCUCAGAAGAACAUUUACUUAAAGAGUGUCAUGAAGUCAAGUGAAUAGGGAACCCUUGCCAAGAGCCUAGAUUUCCAUUUCCCAGUCCAAAGUGUUUACUGCCCCUUCACACAGUUGUGAUAGUACUAACAACAUGUUUACGGGGCUGAACAGUUUACUAAAUGGAUUCAGAUACAUUAUUCCAUUUGCUUCUCACAACUGCUUGAAUUAGGUGUCUUUACAUUCACACAUGCCAAAUAUGGCAUGAAUGUUUGAACUCAGACCUUUUAACCCAAAGUACAUGCAAAGUUGUCUUCAAAAGAUAAAUUCCCAUAAAAUACAUGAUAAAAUGGUUAUAACAAAUAAUAACCUUUCCAUGAUAGUUCCCUACACAGCCACAC